rnacentral:tRNA from 1 species
GGGCCUGUCGUUCAACGGUUAGGACGAUACUCUUAUAAAGUAUAGACGGAAGUUCGACUCUUCCCGGGCCCA